rnacentral:rRNA from 1 species
GAGUUUGAUCCUGGCUCAGGAUGAACGCUGGCGGUACGUCUGACACAUGCAAGUCGAACGGUAAGCCACCUUCGGGUGGCCUAGAGUGGCGAACGGCUGAGUAACACGUAGGAACCUACCCCUCAGUUCGGGACAACGGGACGAAAGCCCCGCUAAUACCGGAUAAUAUCGAAAGAUUGAAAGGUUUACUGCUGAGGGAGGGGCCUCGCGGGCUAUUAGCUUGAUGGUGGGGUAACGGCCUACCAUGGCGAUGAUGGCUAGCUGGUCUGAGAGGAUGAUCAGCCAGACUGGGACUGAGACACGGCCCAGACUCCUACGGGAGGCAGCAGUUCAGAAUCUUGCACAAUGGGGCGAAAGCCUGAUGCAGCGAUACCGCGUGGGUGAAGAAGGCCCUCGGGUCGUAAAGCCCUGUCAGAGGGGAAAGAUAAUGACGGUACCCUCUAAGGAAGCCACGGCUAAUUACAUGCCAGCCG